AGGUAGAAGUGAUGAGCAAUGGCAUAUACAAGAGUGUGGUUCAUCGUGUAACAGUGAACAAAGAUUACAAGCGGCUCUCUUUUGCAAGUCUUCACAGUCUACCUAUGCACAAGAAAAUAAGUCCAGCAACUCAGCUCGUCAAUGAAAAUAAACCAGCUGCAUAUGGAGAAUUCAGCUUCAACGAUUUUCUUGAUUAUAUAUCCAGAAACGAUAUUACACAGAAAAGAUUCAUUGAUACACUCAGAAAGAAAAACCUCUGAAGAUGGUGUCAUAUAACUCGACACGGCAAUUCCGAUGGUUGAUUAUUUGGACCUAGUUGCAUGCAUCUUGUAUUUAAUCUAUGACUAUCUUGUGCAAGUGAAUAGUCCUUGUUUAUAUCACAUAAAAGUAUAUUUAGUUGUCAUAUAAGUGUAUCCUUAUGCUAGAUUCAUAUUAGUUUCUCAUCUAAGAGCAAAGUUUGAUAAAUGGAUCAAAACAGUAAGGGUUAAGACUUAUCAAAUCUCAAAUAAGUUCCAAGACAUUCUUCAAACUCUAUAUAAACAUGAAUUGUCCUGAAGCUUAUAGAGAGAACAAAAAAAAAAAAAAUCAACCAGAUAACACAGACAAUGAAAUGAGAUGUGAACAAUUACCAAACAUUUAACAGCUUAAAUUCUCCAUCUUUACAAUACAGGGAAUCAAACAUGUUCACAAACCAGCCACGUAUCGAAACAAGGAAGUAAAAUGCUCGAUUCAACGACAUAAAUCGUACAAAAUCUGUUAAAUAAGCUUGAUUUCGUUCCAACAAACACAGAAAAAUAAAACUUCUCAGAAUUAAAAACAGCUUACCGUCAAGUUCUCUAAGUAUGUACGGCCACAGCCUCUUGGUCCCCCGUCGGCAGAUUCCCGGUAAAAUUUAACUCCGGCAUCGCUUACGUCUUUUUUUUAUAUUUGUUUUAUUCCUAAUCUUUUUC
rnacentral:lncRNA from 1 species